rnacentral:lncRNA from 1 species
CACACACAACCAAAAGAAACAAACAAAUUAUAUUUUAGGGUUUAUCUGAUGUCUUUCAGGUUCACUUUAGAAUAUUCAAGAAGGGAUCCAGGCAUUAGAUUGGGCUGGAAACUUGGUCUCCUACCGAAAGAACUAUCUUCCCGGCUUUCUCUGGAAAUGAGUGGAGGGAAUGAAGAGCUGCCAGAAGAUGGAUGAAGAGUCUGUGAAUUCGGAAGAGGCAGAAGAUAGCAAUGAGAGUUAACAGAGAUAUGACAUGAACAUAUAUCAGAAAAAUGAUUCACACACAAUAGAAAAAGAACAGCAUCCAGCUGUGGCAAAAGAGAACAUUAACUGUAACUUGAAGACUGAAUCCAAGGUGAGCAUAAGAAGAAAGCUGCUGGCAUCUGUAGCAACAUGGCUAUGAAGUCCAGCCUCGUUGAAGUCCAGAUGGCCUCAGUUUCCAGGACUGUGUUUCUUUAAUACUGUCUGCCUGGAGUCUCCUCUCCCUUCAAUCCCCUUCUCACUCCUACCUUGUCUUGACAUCAAUCCUUACAUGUUUUCUGGCUCCUGACAACCUGCUUCAGAGAGUCUAGUCCUGUUUCUGGCAGUGCUGCCUGGGAUCUCUGUCCAACGCAAAAACCAACACAACAAUACUUGGGAAAUUCCUAAAUUAAUAAUAAAAAACUUAGCCUGUUUUUUUUUGGAAAAUUA